GAUGAACGCUGGCGGCGUGCUUAACACAUGCAAGUCGAACGAUGAACCAGGUGCUUGCACUUGGGGAUUAGUGGCGAACGGGUGAGUAACACGUGAGUAACCUGCCCCUGACUUCAGGAUAAGCCCGGGAAACUGGGUCUAAUACUGGAUAUGACUAUUGACCGCAUGGUUGGUGGUGGAAAGAUUUAUUGGUUGGGGAUGGACUCGCGGCCUAUCAGCUUGUUGGUGAGGUAAUGGCUCACCAAGGCGACGACGGGUAGCCGGCCUGAGAGGGUGACCGGCCACACUGGGACUGAGACACGGCCCAGACUCCUACGGGAGGCAGCAGUGGGGAAUAUUGCACAAUGGGCGAAAGCCUGAUGCAGCGACGCCGCGUGAGGGAUGACGGCCUUCGGGUUGUAAACCUCUUUCAGUAGGGAAGAAGCCGAAAGGUGACGGUACUUGCAGAAGAAGCGCCGGCUAACUACGUGCCAGCAGCCGCGGUAAUACGUAGGGCGCGAGCGUUAUCCGGAUUUAUUGGGCGUAAAGAGCUCGUAGGCGGUUUGUCGCGUCUGCCGUGAAAGACCAGGGCUCAACCCUGGUUCUGCGGUGGGUACGGGCAGACUAGAGUGAUGUAGGGGAGACUGGAAUUCCUGGUGUAGCGGUGAAAUGCGCAGAUAUCAGGAGGAACACCGAUGGCGAAGGCAGGUCUCUGGGCAUUUACUGACGCUGAGGAGCGAAAGCAUGGGGAGCGAACAGGAUUAGAUACCCUGGUAGUCCAUGCCGUAAACGUUGGGCACUAGGUGUGGGGGACAUUCCACGUUUUCCGCGCCGUAGCUAACGCAUUAAGUGCCCCGCCUGGGGAGUACGGCCGCAAGGCUAAAACUCAAAGGAAUUGACGGGGGCCCGCACAAGCGGCGGAGCAUGCGGAUUAAUUCGAUGCAACGCGAAGAACCUUACCAAGGCUUGACAUGUGCCAGACCGCUCCAGAGAUGGGGUUUCCCUUCGGGGCUGGUUCACAGGUGGUGCAUGGUUGUCGUCAGCUCGUGUCGUGAGAUGUUGGGUUAAGUCCCGCAACGAGCGCAACCCUCGUUCCAUGUUGCCAGCACGUAGUGGUGGGGACUCAUGGGAGACUGCCGGGGUCAACUCGGAGGAAGGUGGGGACGACGUCAAAUCAUCAUGCCCCUUAUGUCUUGGGCUUCACGCAUGCUACAAUGGCCGGUACAAUGGGUUGCGAUACUGUGAGGUGGAGCUAAUCCCUAAAAGCCGGUCUCAGUUCGGAUUGGGGUCUGCAACUCGACCCCAUGAAGUCGGAGUCGCUAGUAAUCGCAGAUCAGCAACGCUGCGGUGAAUACGUUCCCGGGCCUUGUACACACCGCC
rnacentral:rRNA from 1 species